rnacentral:rRNA from 1 species
UACGGGGGGGCGAAGCGUUGUUCGGAAUUACUGGGCGUAAAGGGCGCGUAGGCGGUUGGAUAAGUCAGCUGUGAAAACCACGGGCUUAACUCGUGGCCUGCAGUUGAGACUGUCUGGCUUGAGUGUGGGAGAGGAGAGGUGGAAUUCCUGGUGGUAAGCGGUGAAAUGCGUAGAUAAUCAGGAGGAACACCGGUGGCGAAGGCGGCUCAUCUGGCCCGAUACUGACGCUGAGGCGACGAAAGGCUAGGGUAGCGAACGGG